GUCAGAACAACAGUUACCCUUUAGAGUAAGGCACAGCAAAGGGACACUCAGAAGCCUUCUGGGGUGUGCUAGCACUCUAGAUCUAGACCUGGCGGCUGGUUUUGUGGGUGUAUACCUCACUGAGCUAUUCACCUGGGAAUUGAGCACUUUAUGUAAAUUAUACCCCAAUUAAAAACAAAGAGCCAGUGGUGCUCUCAGCAGGCCCCAGGGGAAUGAGACGUUCAGCAGGAGCUGGGGGAGCACGGAGGGUGCUAAAGGAAAAAUGGGGUGGAGGGGGAGAGAAGGAGAGCCGGAAACCCAGAUAGACACACGCAGAUUAAGGUGGUCAGAGAAGGUGUUUACGGGAAGAAGUCGACCCGAAUUCCAGGCAGUUGAAUUAGUCCUAGGAGGAAAGGGUGGGGUUUGGCUUCCAAGUAGGGUAACCAGUUUGCCCAGGACUCUUGCUUUGGGCACCAAAGGUUCUGUAUUCUGGGAAACGUCUCAGGCCAAGGCAGUGGGACAGCUCAGCUUUCUGCUCCCAAGGCCUGGCGCUGGGCAGGGGUGGGGAGGAAUGGAGUGGACCCAGGAAGUAAUAGCCACCACCUUUGAGACCCUCCUGUUUCUCCAACAGCCUUCUGUCCAGUCUUCACCUUCACAGCGCCCAUCAGUUUUUCCUGUUUGAAGAUUCUGGUUGCAACCCAACUAAGUCAAUUUCACAACCCAGUAAGGAUUCAUGAUUCAGUUUGAAAAAUAUGGUACAAGAUACCUCUUUCUGGAGCUGGUUCUCUUUUCUGAAUGAAGGGCGCUGGGGGUUCUGGAGGUCCUCUGAACCAGGCACUGCCCUGGUUUGGAGUUCUGUUUGUUUUGCAGAAAAGGAAGCUGAGACUCCCCAAGCCUGAGUGGCUUGCCCAUGAAUCAGCCCCGGGGGGGGGGGGACAUUUACAGCAUGGAAGACAGCAAAUGCUGCAAAUCAGAGCUUCCCCCUGUCUCCGCCCUUGGAAAACCAGCCCUUAACACACUUACUGUGCACUGGUGCUUCCCACCCUGCUCUUUCUGGUUCCACAGUCAGUAUAUCUUGAAGCCUUCUGACCUCAGCUUCCUCAUCUGUAAAUAACAUUAAAAAAUGCCCACUUCAUGGGAAAAAUUCUAUUCACUGAAGACAGUCUGGUAAGAGGGACAAUGACUGGAAGGAAACAAAAAUGCAAAUAAUUAUUUGCCUCUGUGAUGGGGUUUGAAAUGGGGUCCCAAACGCCACUAUCUUGUGUUAUUUCCAUCACUGCUAAAUGGAAUUUGUGCAGGGGGGAAAAAAAACACACAAAUACAAAAAACAAAAAACACUUUGCAAAACUAUUGAGAAUUAGAAUAAAGGCAGCCUAUAGCCCAGCUAUGAGCGGUGUAAACGGAAGAGGGAAUUCGUGUUUUUUCUAAUUGGAAAUAGCAAAGAAAGUAUUGCAAAUGGAUUGCAUUUCAAAGCAGGACUGUCUAUGCAGACAGAAGAGAGAAAGGAGUAUUUUGAUAAAUAUUCUGAUUCCUAGACUAUACUGACAAAUAUAUCCUACACUAAUCACUAAUUUUCAAAAUUCUAGAAUAAGGGCUUUACAGCUUCAAAUUUAUCCAGUCCAGUGCAAUGGUUGCCCCCCUCCCCGUCUGACAGAUUCCUCAGCCUGGUGACCCCCCGGAGUAGAGUCUGACUGGAACCUUCUCCCGUUCGUGGCCACCCUGCUCUCUGAGGCCACACAGGAGUCUGUAUCCUCAUCCUCGCCAUAUUUAUAAUAAUAAUGGCUGUAUUCAUUUCCCACGGUGGCUGUCACAAAUUACUACUAAUUUUAUGACUUACCACAAACUUAGUAUUUUCUUGUGUUAGAAGUCAGAAGUCUGGAAUGGGUGUUGCUCAGCUAAUAUCAAGGUGCUGGCAGGGCUAUGUGCUUUCUGGAAGCUUCAGGGAGAAUCUUUUCCUGGUCUUUCCCAUUUUCCAGGGGCACCCACAUUUCGUGGUUAGUUGACUUUCCUCCAUCCUCAAAGCCAGCAGCAUUUCACGGAGGAACCUCUCUCUGACUGGGGCACUCACGCUUCUGCUUCCCUGUUUUGUGGUAAGGACCGUUGCAAUUCGAUUGGGCUCAAUUGGAUAAUCCAAGCCAGUCAGCUGAUUAGCAGCCUUAAUUCCACCUGCAACCUUAAUUACCACUUUUACCAUGAAACACAGCACAUUCGCAGGUUCCUGAGAUUAGGAUGUGGGCAUCUUUAUUCUGCCUACCACAAUGGUUAACAUUUUGAGUGCUUCCUAUGUACCUGGUAGAGUUCUAGGCAUGUUACUUAUAAAGAUGUGUUUAAAUCUCACCUCAGCUCUGUGAAGUAGGAAUUGAUUUCAUAGAGGAGGAAAGUGAGGCCCGGAGAGGAAAACCAAAUUGCCCAAGGUCACACAGCUAGUAAGAGGCAGGGCUGAGCUACAGAUUCAGGAAUCCAGUCUCCAAGCCCAUUCUCUGAAGCCAUAAUCACAUUUUAGUAACUGAAGGAUAGAUGUACAAAUAAAAUUCUACUUAGCUUAAUCCUCACUUGAUGAUCUAGAAACCCCUACAGGAUGUGACAAUGCCUCAGGUCAAUUAAUAAUGACUGUAAUUUGCCACUGAUCAGACAACUUUGGAUGGGCUGACCGGUAGAUUUCCAGGAGCUAGGAUGUCCUAUAAGUCUGCUUCCUUCCCCAGUGGGCUUCUCACAAUGGGCAAUAGUGAUUCUCCACUCUGCUCUGUGGUAUCUGACCUCAGCUACUUCUCUUUCCCUCUAUUCCAGCCAUGCUAGCUUCACAGACAUCCCUCAAAAAAUCAAUUUAAUUUCUACCACAGGACCUUUGCACUCACUAUCACCCCCACCUGGAAUCUCUCCCCAGUGUACAUAAAGCUCAACCAUCACUUCAAAUAGGUCUCUGACCAAGAAUCACCUCUUUAAAAAGGAGCUAGAAAACAGGCCCAUCUUGGUGGGCGGUGUCUCCCUCUUCCCUCUCCAAUAUUUUGGUGGAAAGAAGACAAGACAUUAACAUUCUCUUCUUUUUCCUGCUUUCUCUCCCUCAUGGUGAUGAACAUGGAAUUGCAUUUGCAGGAAAGGAGGGGUCUUCACCUUGAGGUUUUCCUUGACUGUAUGUGUACAAAUGAUCCUGAGCAAAUAGCAGGGGACAGAAGGCAGGGACUAGUUUCUUAACUGCCAGAUCUUUAAAGGGAAGAGAAAAAAAAUCUUGACUUAUGGAGCACCUACUGAGUGCUCAAAAUUUCCUAGUACUAGGAAAAGAAUGCUGUGGUUGCUAGAUGUUAAGAAAUUGGUCCAGGGGCGCCUGGGUGGCUCAGUGGGUUAAAGCCUCUGCCUUCGGCUCAGGUCAUGAUCCCAGGGUCCUGGGAUCGAGCCCCGCAUCGGGCUCUCUGCUCCGCAGGGAGCCUGCUUCCUCCCCUCUCUCUCUGCCUGCCUCUCUGCCUGCUUGUGAUCUCUGUCUGUCAAAUAAAUAAAUAAAAUCUUUAAAAAAAAAAAAAAAAGAAAUUGGUCCAGAUUACAUGUGGAGGGACUGAGUAAACCUUGAAUGCAAGUCAGCCUGAAUAACACAUCAAGGUUCCUCUUCCUUUACAGAGAGAAGAAGUGAACUGGGAUAAAGCAGGGACUGCAUUGAAGCAAUUGGCCAUAGGGGAGGAAUUUUUUUUUUCUCUAAAUGAGUAAUUAUUCUAUUUAGAAACUCACAUGGAGACAAUGGGAAACAGAAGUGAAGACUUUGUUUCUAUCCCCAGGAGAUAUUUGCAUAUGAUACACAACUGUUUUAGCACCACAUGUAGAAAAGACUUCUUUCUCCACUGAGUUGCCUUGGCACUUUUUGUCAAAAUCAAUGCACUAUAUUUGUGUCUAUUUCUGGACUGUCUGGUCUGUUCCACAGAUCAAUUUGUCUGUCUUGAUGCAAGUCCCAAACUGUUUUGAUUACCGUAGCUUCAUAAUAGGUUUGACAAUGAGAUUUGGGUCCUCUAACUUUGUUCUUUUUCAAAGUUGUUGUUUUGGCUAUUCUAAGUCUUUUGUGUUUCCAUAUGAAUUUCGGAAUCAGAUUCUCAAUUUCUGCCAAAAAAAAAAAAAAAAAAGCUAGCUGGAUUUUGACUUGAAUUUAUAGAUCAAUUUGGAGACAACUGCCAUCUUAACAACAGCUAAUCUUCAGAUUCAUGAACAUGGUAUACCUGUUUAUGUAAGUUUAAUUUUUCUCAACAGUGUUUUGUAGUUUUCACUGAACAGAUUAUGCACAUCUUUUGUCAGAUUUAUCCCUAUACCUCAUAUUUUUUAUGCUCAUGUAAGUGAUAAUUUAAAUUUCAAUUUUUAACUGUCCAUUGCUAGUAUAUAGAAGAUAGCUGAGUUUUGUAGAUUGAUCUUGGAUCCUACAACCAUGCUGAACUCAUUUUGUCAGUUCUGGUAGGUUUUUUGGGUUUUUUUGUUUGUUUUGGGGAGGGUUUUUUGGUGGAUUUUUGGUGGGGUUUUGGUGGAUUUAUUUUCCUAUAUAGAUGAUGUUAUCUGUGAAUAAAGACCAUUUUAUGAGGGGCUAUCUCUAAGAAGGCUGUGUUCUAAUAAACUCCAUCCUCAAGCUGUUGGAAGGAAAUAGAGGGACAAUCCAGGAUGAGAAUGACACAAGGCUGCAAGUUAUUCUUAGGGCAGCAGAUCUGUAAAUCUGAUAGUUUUAUUUAAGCUAAUGUUAAAAUGGACUCAUAUUCUAUUAAUCCUGGGAGAUAUCCUCAGCACAGAUCACUUGAUUAUCUAUACU
rnacentral:lncRNA from 1 species